AACCGGAGGAAGGUGGGGAUGACGUCAAAUCAUCAUGCCCCUUAUGAUUUGGGCUACACACGUGCUACAAUGGACAAUACAAAGGGUAGCGAAACCGCGAGGUCAAGCAAAUCCCAUAAAGUUGUUCUCAGUUCGGAUUGUAGUCUGCAACUCGACUAUAUGAAGCUGGAAUCGCUAGUAAUCGUAGAUCAGCAUGCUACGGUGAAUACGUUCCCGGGUCUUGUACACACCGCCCGUCACACCACGAGAGUUUGUAACACCCGAAGCCGGUGGAGUAACCAUUUGGAGCUAGCCGUCGAAGGUGGGACAAAUGAUUGGGGUGAAGUCGUA
rnacentral:rRNA from 1 species